rnacentral:rRNA from 2 species
UACGUAGGGUGCAAGCGUUAAUCGGAAUUACUGGGCGUAAAGCGUGCGCAGGCGGUUAUGUAAGACAGAUGUGAAAUCCCCGGGCUCAACCUGGGAACUGCAUUUGUGACUGCAUAGCUGGAGUGCGGCAGAGGGGGAUGGAAUUCCGCGUGUAGCAGUGAAAUGCGUAGAUAUGCGGAGGAACACCGAUGGCGAAGGCAAUCCCCUGGGCCUGCACUGACGCUCAUGCACGAAAGCGUGGGGAGCAAACAGG